AGAGCGUGACGAAGACUUGUUGUGUGAGCAUCCGCUCAAGAUACUAUCUGAGAUGUUACGAGGCUCUUUUGAGAAGAGCUUUGACGUAGAGACAGAAGAUCCUCAAGAGGACCUCGCAGCA